rnacentral:tRNA from 1 species
AAAAAGAUAAGCUAAGAAAGCUCAUGGGUUCAUACCCCGUAUAUAAAGGUUUAAAUCCUUUUCUUUUUA